rnacentral:misc_RNA from 1 species
AACGCACGAGACCUGCGGACCUGCGGAAGGAUCAUUACAGAGUUCAUGCCCCCCGGGGUAGAUCUCCCACCCUUGAUAUCUCUACCUUUGUUGCUUUGGCAGGCCGCGGUCCGCCGCUACCGGCUCCGGCUGGUACGCGCCUGCCAGAGGACCCAACUCUUGUUUUUAGUGAUGUCUGAGUACUAUAUAAUAGUUAAAACUUUCAGCAAUGGAUCUCU